UACGUAGGUGGCAAGCGUUGUCCGGAAUUAUUGGGCGUAAAGCGCCGCGCAGGCGGUUCCUUAAGUCUGAUGUGAAAGCCCCCGGCUCAACCGGGGAGGGUCAUUGGAAACUGGGGAACUUGAGUGCAGGAGAGGAAAGCGGAAUUCCACGUGUAGCGGUGAAAUGCGUAGAUAUGUGGAGGAACACCAGUGGCGAAGGCGGCUUUCUGGUCUGUAACUGACGCUGAGGCGCGGAAGCGUGGGGAGCAAACAGG
rnacentral:rRNA from 1 species